UCUCUGUCUGCCUCUCUGUCUGUCUAUCUAUUCUCCCUGCAGGUCUGGAGCUGAACGGGAUGGGGGUUGAUAAAGGAGAGACUCCUCCGCCCCUGCCAGUGAAAGGCAUCUCUGCUGAUUACGGGAACCUGCUAGGAGAUAAUCAAGACUUGACGAGUCCCUCCACCCCUCCCCUGACACACCAUCAAAGGCAUCUGCCACCUCCUCUUCCCAGCAAGACCCCUCCUCCCCCUCCCCCCAAGACCACCAGGAAACAAGCGUCCAUCGAUUCAGGAAUUGUACAAUGAACACUGACAUUAUACGCCCGAUUUAAAAACAAAGGUUCUUUCUCCUCUGCAAUCUCUCUAAUUCCCCCAUCGUCCCCUCUCAACACUUUGGAUGCCUUCCAAAUGGAGACCUAUUUCCUAUAGUGCACUGCUUCUGACUACCGCUGCCCUUAGGGCUCUGGUCAAAGGUAGGGCACUAUAUAGGGAAUUUGGGACAGAGCCACAGUCUGACCAGGACUAGAAAAAGAGUACCUCACUCAGACCCUCUCUUAUUGAGCUUUUCAUUUUGGUUGUAUCCCAAAUGGCACCCUAUUCCCUAUAUAGUGCACUACUGGUGACCACGGCCCAUAGUGCUCUGGUAAAAAGUAGUGCACUACGUAGGGAAUAGGGUGCCAUUUGGGAUACAACCUCGUUGAUCCUUUCAUUUUGCCUCAAGUGUGAUGAUGCAGUCUAUUUUACCAUAGGUAGAUAGGGGGAAUCAGUUGCACAUGAUUACUAGUCACUGAAUUUGUUGAUGCUAUCUACCGUCUAUGAUCUUUGACUAGAUUCACUUGAUACCACUUAGUUCAGGCCUUUUGUAAUGGAAUGAGAUUGUGUUCCACCUAUAGAAUUAGAAUGAGUGAAUGAACCAUUCUCUGGUUCUGUCUUUUACACUUUGACCAGUAGACAGACUGGUGACUAACGGCCGGCAUUCUGACCCCUCCCACCCGCUCUUAGGAGCUGGGAGCACAUAACGGCCGGCAUUCUGACCCCUCCCACCCGCUCUAAGGAGCUGGGAGCACAUAACGGCCGGCAUUCUGACCCCUCCCACCCGCUCUUAGGAGCUGGGAGCACAUAACGGCCGGCAUUCUGACCCCUCCCACCCGCUCUUAGGAGCUGGGAGCACAUAACGGCCGGCAUUCUGACCCCUCCCACCCGCUCUAAGGAGCUGGGAGCACAUAGUAACAGAAAACAUGAUUUUAUUCUGUGGUUUAUCUUUUUGUAUCCAUAGUUACAGAAAACAUCAUCCUUUUAUUCGGUGGUUUAUCUUUUUUUAAAAUCCAUAUUCCCGCUUUGUACAGAGGUAUGUAUAUAUGAUUUUAUUUUAUUUCAAUUUUUAUGUGGAAUUUAUCAUGACUUUUUUGUAUUAACAUUGCAUUAGAUUAACUGGCUUUCAUUUAUAUCCCCCAAAAAAAAGGGCUUUUAGGUUUUUUAAAUGACAGGGACUGUAAAGAAUUGGUAUGUGAGUAUCUGCCUGUCAUUGAUUUUAUUGGUGAGGUUGUUGUUUUCUUUUGGAGUGUACUCAACUAACUCCUUACUUCCGCAUACAUUGUCAUUGUAUAGGAUUUGAUUGCUGUAACAUUGACUGUUCCCAAUUCACUACUGACUUCUGAAUAAACUUUCAACUGUAUGUAUAAAAAUACAAAUAAAAAAAUGGUGGGCUUC